rnacentral:rRNA from 1 species
CAGUAGCCGCGGUAAAACGGAGGGUGCAAGCGUUAAUCGGAAUUACUGGGCGUAAAGCGCACGCAGGCGGUUUGUUAAGUCAGAUGUGAAAUCCCCGGGCUCAACCUGGGAACUGCAUUUGAAACUGGCAAGCUAGAGUCUCGUAGAGGGGGGUAGAAUUCCAGGUGUAGCGGUGAAAUGCGUAGAGAUCUGGAGGAAUACCGGUGGCGAAGGCGGCCCCCUGGACGAAGACUGACGCUCAGGUGCGAAAGCGUGGGGAGCAAACAGGAUUAGAUACCCGCGUAGUCCCUGUCUCUUAUAC